rnacentral:rRNA from 1 species
GUGGGGAAUAUUGGACAAUGGGCGAAAGCCUGAUCCAGCCAUGCCGCGUGUGUGAAGAAGGUCUUCGGAUUGUAAAGCACUUUAAGUUGGGAGGAAGGGCAGUAAGUUAAUACCUUGCUGUUUUGACGUUACCGACAGAAUAAGCACCGGCUAACUUCGUGCCAGCAGCCGCGGUAAUACGAAGGGUGCAAGCGUUAAUCGGAAUUACUGGGCGUAAAGCGCGCGUAGGUGGUUUUGUAAGUUGGAGGUGAAAUCCCCGGGCUCAACCUGGGAACUGCCUCCAAAACUGCAUGACUAGAGUACGGUAGAGGGUAGUGGAAUUUCCUGUGUAGCGGUGAAAUGCGUAGAUAUAGGAAGGAGCACCAGUGGCGAAGGCGACUACCUGGACUGAUACUGACACUGAGGUGCGAAAGCAUGGGGAGCAAACAGGAUUAGAUACCCUGGUAGUCC